rnacentral:lncRNA from 1 species
GUCCUCUGGCCUUCACAUGUGUGUACAUGCAUACACAUUUGCACACAUGGAGCUGCACAUGCAUGACAAUAGACACAUAAAAAUUUUUAUUUAUAGGUCCAAGAGGCUAUCACACUGUAGUAGUUGCAGCUAAUGAAGCAACUGUGGGAAAUUAAAGUAUCUCUUGCAACUUCCUAUUACAUCGUAAGUCUGAGCUUUCUAAACUUUCUACUUUGAUAAGGUUUGAGGAAGGCUUAAGUUCUCCGGCCUCUGUUUUAACUGUCAAGCUCUAAUGGUACUUUCCAGAUAUGUGGUUUAUUUUCUUAUCUACACUAAGGCAGUUGUGCUGUUUUUUAUAGAAGUUUUCCCCAAUUCUUGUCUUACUGAAGGGACUAAUCCAGCUUACAGACGAGCCACGAUGCAGAUGCUCUUCUAGUAAGCCAGGGUCUUCCGAGAACGCAGGCCUUCAUGGUGAACAUGUGUUAUCAGUUUGGAGACUGUCCUGCUCCUGAGUUUCUGCUGUGGCCGAAUGAGCCUCAGGUACAGCUGCAAGAUGUAAGCCGCAGCAUCAGGAGCUGUAGCUACCAAGAGAUGCACCUGCAACUUCCGUGCUUACCUCAUGUCUAGCUCCUCUUGUACCUGUCUCAGUGUUAGGGAUUAUCUGGGAACCAUGUCUGAAAGAAGUCACAUAAGGUAGGCAUCAGGUGGGAAGAUAUUUUUUAUUGAUGUUCCCAUGUUAGGAACGCUGCUUGUGUCCAGAAUGGCUGGUGUUCCCCUGCGUCUUCAUGUCCAGGAUGACUAAAGCCAGUUGCUUCAGUGUCCCCUUCCUUCUUCUCUUAAACAAUGCUGUGCCUGCAGCACAUUGAUACAUGUUAAGAUCGAUGGUCUCAGCCGGUCAUGGUGGCCCACGCCUUUAAUCCCAGCACUCGGGAGGCAGAGGCAGGCGGAUUUCUGAGUUCAAGGCCAGCCUGGUCUACGGAGUGAGUUCCAGAACAGCCAGGGCUACACAGAGAAACCUUGUCUCGAAACAAAACAAAACAAAAAACAAAACAAAACAAAACAAAUACAAAACAAAAAAUCGUUGGUCUCCAUUCAGGAGGCAGAAGCAGGCAAAUCUCUGUGAGUUUGAGGCCAGUCUGGUUUACAGAGUGAGAUUCAGGACGGCCUGGGCUACAUUGAGAGACCCUGUCCAAAGAAUACAAAAACAAAAACAAAAACCUGGUCUUUUUCUGUUGUGAAGUUUGGGAUAUGUUGAUUGGUGUAUCUUCUUAUACCCACGUUGCCCUUCUAGAAUAUGGCACUAGCUAGACAAUUAGAGAAAUUUGUAUCAGAAUUUAAGAACAGAAGUAAACCAUGGAUUAUCAUCCUAAAUUGAAGAGAAAGCUUGUCAUGGGGGCUGAGGCAUGGCUCAGCAGUUGUGAGCACUUUUAGAGGGCUUGGGUUCAGUCCUCAGCACCCACAUGGUGGCUCACAACCAUCUAUAACUCCAGUCCCAGAAGAUCCAGUGCCCACUAGAAGAAAGAAAAAAGAAAAAGAGAAAAGAGAGCUUAUAAUUUAUUUCUUUAUUUCCUUGUUUGCUGCUUUUAAGACAGGGUUACACUCUGUAGCUCAGGCUGACCUAAAAUUAACUACAUUCCCCAGGCUAUCAUAGAACACACCAUAGCCAAUCCAGUACUGGCUUAUAGGCCUAAGACUAGAACAUUUGUUUAUUAAGAAUUUUACCAUCUCCACCUACCAAGAAAAGUCACUCACUCAACGUGUUGGUUUCCCCUCACAUAAUACCAGGAGAACUGUAACCAGAGUCAGGUUCUGCCUUGCGGGGCUUAAGGCGCUCUUGUUAUGAAUGGACUCUUUCCUUUGUUCUGGAGCUCAUGUGUCCGUUUUAAACUCCUGUUUCUUGCUUGCAUGCCUUAGUCUGCCUUUACUGUUACUUACAACGGCAACAGUACAGCUGUUCUGCCCCAUUGUCUCAUGUGAAUUGGGUAAAAAAUUCAAAACCUCUUAUUGUUUUAGAGUUUAUUUUACAUUUUGUAUUCUUCCAAUCUUAUAGUAAUGAGCAAGAGUUUCUCUUUUUUUUCUUAAUUUAAACUCAAGAGAUGCAUACACGUUUUGAGGGUACAGGGUGUCACAUAGCUAAGGCUGCCCUCAGAUUCACUGUGUAGUAGAUGGCCUUGAACUUCUGGUCUCCCAAAUGCUAAGGUUAUAGGCUGUAUGUCUUUAUACCCAGCUUUUUAUUUUUCUAAGAAAAACUUUAAUCCCAGCACUUGAGAAGCAGCAGCAGGUGGGUCUCUGAGUUGGAGGUUACAGGUCAGUCAGAGCUGCAAAGAGAAACCCUGUCUCAAAAACCCAAAAAGAAAAGG